rnacentral:rRNA from 1 species
CGCCUGUUUAACAAAAACAUGUCUUUUUGAAUUUUUUUUAAAGUCUGACCUGCCCACUGAAUAAUUUUAAAUGGCCGCAGUAUACUAACUGUGCAAAGGUAGCAUAAUCAUUAGUCUUUUAAUUGAAGGCUGGUAUGAAUGGUUGGACGAGAUAUUAACUGUUUCAUAAAAAUUUAUAAUAGAAUUUUAUUUUUUAGUCAAAAAGCUAAAAUAUAUUUAAAAGACGAGAAGACCCUAUACAUCUUUAUAUAUAGAUUAUUAGUAUUUUGUAGAUUUUUUUUGUUAUAUUUAUUGAUUAUAUUUUAUUGGGGUGAUAUUAAAAUUUCAAAAACUUUUAAUUGUUUAAAACAUUAUUUUAUGAAUAGUUGAUCCAUUAAUAACGAUUAUAAAAAUAAGUUACUUUAGGGAUAGCAGCGUAAUUUUUUUGGAGAGUUCAUAUCGAUAAAAAACAUUGCGACCUCGAUGUUGGAUUUUGAUAUAAAUUUAGGUGUAGAAGCUAAAAUUUUAAGUCUGUUCGACUUUUAUAUUCUUACGUGAUCUGAGUUCAGACCGGA